CCAGACCGCCAGCUAAGGUCCCAAAGUCAUGGUUAAGUGGGAAACGAUGUGGGAAGGCCCAGACAGCCAGGAUGUUGGCUUAGAAGCAGCCAUCAUUUAAAGAAAGCGUAAUAGCUCACUGGUCGAGUCGGCCUGCGCGGAAGAUGUAACGGGGCUAAACCAUGCACCGAAGCUGCGGCAGCGACGCUUAUGCGUUGUUGGGUAGGGGAGCGUUCUGUAAGCCUGUGAAGGUGUGCUGUGAGGCAUGCUGGAGGUAUCAGAAGUGCGAAUGCUGACAUAAGUAACGAUAAAGCGGGUGAAAAGCCCGCUCGCCGGAAGACCAAGGGUUCCUGUCCAACGUUAAUCGGGGCAGGGUGAGUCGACCCCUAAGGCGAGGCCGAAAGGCGUAGUCGAUGGGAAACAGGUUAAUAUUCCUGUACUUGGUGUUACUGCGAAGGGGGGACGGAGAAGGCUAUGUUGGCCGGGCGACGGUUGUCCCGGUUUAAGCGUGUAGGCUGGUUUUCCAGGCAAAUCCGGAAAAUCAAGGCUGAGGCGUGAUGACGAGGCACUACGG
rnacentral:rRNA from 1 species